rnacentral:rRNA from 1 species
UUAAAUUGAAGAGUUUGAUCAUGGCUCAGAUUGAACGCUGGCGGCAGGCCUAACACAUGCAAGUCGAACGGUAACAGGAAGCAGCUUGCUGCUUCGCUGACGAGUGGCGGACGGGUGAGUAAUGUCUGGGAAACUGCCUGAUGGAGGGGGAUAACUACUGGAAACGGUAGCUAAUACCGCAUAACGUCGCAAGACCAAAGAG